CCUACGGGUGGCAGCAGUGGGGAAUAUUGGACAAUGGGGGCAACCCUGAUCCAGCCAUGCCGCGUGUGUGAAGAAGGCCCUCGGGUUGUAAAGCACUUUCAGUGAGGAAGAACGCCUGGUGGUUAAUACCCAUCAGGAAAGACAUCACUCACAGAAGAAGCACCGGCUAACUCCGUGCCAGCAGCCGCGGUAAUACGGAGGGUGCGAGCGUUAAUCGGAAUUACUGGGCGUAAAGCGCGCGUAGGUGGCUUGAUAAGCCGGUUGUGAAAGCCCCGGGCUCAACCUGGGAACGGCAUCCGGAACUGUCAAGCUAGAGUGCAGGAGAGGAGGUAGAAUUCCCGGUGUAGCGGUGAAAUGCGUAGAGAUCGGGAGGAAUACCAGUGGCGAAGGCGGCCUUCUGGACUGACACUGACACUGAGGUGCGAAAGCGUGGGUAGCAAACAGGAUUAGAUACCCCGGUAGUC
rnacentral:rRNA from 1 species